AUACUCUGGUUUCUCUUCAGAUCAUGUAAAUCUUUCACUUUUAACUAAAUAUUUCUGUUGAAAGGGACAUUUUUGAGUUUGUAACUAAUUUUUGAGGCUCUCAUUGUCAUAUGAUGAGA